GGAGAAGGAACUCGGCAAAUUGACACCGUAACUUCGGGAGAAGGUGUGCCUCUGUCGGUGUAGGACUUCGCGUUCGAAGCUGAUAGAGGUCGCAGAGAAUAGGUGGCUGCGACUGUUUAACAAAAACACAGCUCUGUGCCAACACGAAAGUGGACGUAUACGGAGUGACGCCUGCCCGGUGCUGGAAGAUUAAAUGAUGGGGUGCAAGCUCUUGAUUGAAGUCCCAGUAAACGGCGGCCGUAACUAUAACGGUCCUAAGGUAGCGAAAUUCCUUGUCGGGUAAGUUCCGACCCGCACGAAUGGCGUAACGAUGGCCACACUGUCUCCUCCUGAGACUCAGCGAAGUUGAAAUGUUUGUGAAGAUGCAAUCUCCCCGCUGCUAGACGGAAAGACCCCGUGAACCUUUACUGUAGCUUUGCAUUGGACUUUGAACAGACUUGUGUAGGAUAGGUGGGAGGCUAUGAAGCAGGAACGCUAGUUUCAGUGGAGCCGUCCUUGAAAUACCACCCUGGUGUGUUUGAGGUUCUAACCUUGGUCCGUGAUCCGGAUCGGGGACAGUGCAUGGUAGGCAGUUUGACUGGGGCGGUCUCCUCCCAAAGUGUAACGGAGGAGUUCGAAGGUUACCUAGGUACGGUCGGAAAUCGUGCUGAUAGUGCAAUGGCAAAAGGUAGCUUAACUGCGAGACCGACAAGUCGAGCAGGUGCGAAAGCAGGACAUAGUGAUCCGGUGGUUCUGAAUGGAAGGGCCAUCGCUCAACGGAUAAAAGGUACUCCGGGGAUAACAGGCUGAUUCCGCCCAAGAGUUCACAUCGACGGCGGAGUUUGGCACCUCGAUGUCGGCUCAUCACAUCCUGGGGCUGUAGCCGGUCCCAAGGGUAUGGCUGUUCGCCAUUUAAAGUGGUACGUGAGCUGGGUUCAAAACGUCGUGAGACAGUUUGGUCCCUAUCUGCAGUGGGCGUUGGAAGUUUGACGGGGGCUGCUCCUAGUACGAGAGGACCGGAGUGGACGAACCUCUGGUGUACCGGUUGUGACGCCAGUCGCAUCGCCGGGUAGCUAAGUUCGGAAGAGAUAACCGCUGAAAGCAUCUAAGCGGGAAACUUGCCUGAAGAUGAGACUUCCCUGGAGGCUUGACCUCCCUGAAGAGUCGUUCGAGACCAGGACGUUGAUAGGUCGGGUGUGGAAGCGCUGUGAGGCGUUAAGCUAACCGAUACUAAUUGCUCGUGAGGCUUGAUCCU
rnacentral:rRNA from 1 species